AUGAUUAUUAGAUUAGUGCAUGAUUCACAACAAUUUCAUUCAAGUAGAAAAAUGGUAGUAACUUAUUCGGUGGAAUCGCUUAUUCUCGCUUUCUCUGUUCUCCAAAUCUUUCGCACCAAACAGGUUUUUCAUUAUUCACAAAUUAGUUCCAUUGAAAUUGAAAUUGGAAGUGAAAGUACUCAAACGAUUCUGAUUCUGAUUUCGUUUUCGUUUUUCCUUUAUUAA